rnacentral:rRNA from 1 species
AGUGAACGCUGGCGGCGUGCUUAACACAUGCAAGUCGAACGAGAACGGAAUAUAGCUUGCUAUAUUUGUCAGCUAAAUGGCGCACGGGUGAGUAAUGUAUAGAUAACCUGCCCUUAAGAAAGGAAUAACAGUUGGAAGCGACUGCUAAUGCCCUAUAUGCCUUUAAUACAUAAGUAUGCAAGGGAAACGCUUUAGUGCUUAAGGAUGGGUCUGUAUGGUAUCAGCUUGUUGGUGAGGUAAUGGCUCACCAAGGCUAUGACGCCUAACUGGUUUGAGAGGAUGAUCAGUCACACUGGAACUGAGACACGGUCCAGACUCCUACGGGAGGCAGCAGUGGGGAAUAUUGCACAAUGGACGAAAGUCUGAUGCAGCAACGCCGCGUGGAGGAUGACACAUUUCGGUGCGUAAAGUCCUUUUAUAUAGGAAGAUAAUGACGGUACUAUAUGAAUAAGCACCGGCUAACUCCGUGCCAGCCGCCGCAGUAACAC